rnacentral:rRNA from 1 species
UACGGGGGGGGCAAGCGUUGUUCGGAAUUACUGGGCGUAAAGGGCUCGUAGGUGGCCAACUAAGUCAGACGUGAAAUCCCCAGGCUCAACUUGGGAACUGCGUCUGAUACUGGAUGGCUUGAAUUCGGGAGAGGGAUGCAGAAUUCCAGGUGUAGCGGUGAAAUGCGUAGAUAUCUGGAGGAACACCGGUGGCGAAGGCGGCGUUCUGGACUGCUACUGACACUGAUGAACGAAAGCCAGGGGAGCAAACGGG